ensembl:lncRNA novel transcript
UCUUGGGUCCACCUUCCUUGCUCAUUGCAUGCCACAUCACCACGCCCUACUUGUUUCUGUGUUCCAUCCAGUCCUCUCUUAGUGCCCUGGUGUCUGGAGCUCAGAGGGUGCUUCCUCCCUGCUUGCUGAAUCGGAUUACAGGCAGCAGGGGUUUUUGCUGUAAGGAAAGGAAAGGGAGACUCUCCUUCAGUGCCUUGGUGUAGGCUGAGACACCGAGGCCCCCUGGGAAACACCUACGGAUCAGGACCUCCUGCACAGGUGUGAUAUUUAUCCUGGAAGCAAUGUGUACAUGGAAUGCCCUACAGGCACAGGAGGCAUCCCUGGAGACUGAAUGGUGUCUGGGAAGAGUAGGGCCACAGAGCUGAGCCCCUAUGGACUGCAGCAGAGGGCCUGGCUCCAAUCCUAGCCUACCAUAUCCCAGUCCCAUGAUCCUCUGGUCCCAUGGAGUCUUGUUUGAGUGCAAGUGAACUGAAUUUCCCAAUUCCUCAAAAAGAGCAAUAGUAAUAAAAACCAUAAUAGUGACA